GGCUAACGCUGGCGGCGUGUCUUAGCCAUGCAAGUCGAGCGGACUUAUGGGGUAACUUAUAAGUCAGCGGCGGACGGCGGAGUAACACGUAGCUAACCUACCCUCUGGACGGGGAUAACCUACCGAAAGGUGGGCUAAUACCCGAUGUAGUCAUCCUGUAUAGGGGUGAUGAAAGGUGGGCUUCUGUUUACAAGCUCAUGCUGGAGGAGGGGGCUGCGGCCUAUCAGGUAGUUGGUAGGGUAAUAGCCUACCAAGCCGAUGACGGGUAGCCGGCCUGAGAGGGUGACCGGCCCGAGGGGCACUGAGAUACGGGUCCCACUCCUACGGGAGGCAGCAGGCUAGAAAUUUGGGCAAUGGGGGAAACCUUGACCCAGUGACGCCGCGUGCAGGAAGGAGCCCUUCGGGGUGUAAACUGCUGUCGUGUAGGGAGAAGGGUACUAAGGUGAACAAUCUUAGUACUUGACGGUACUACAGGAGGAAGCCCAGGCUAACCUCGUG
rnacentral:rRNA from 1 species